AUUGAACGCUGGCGGCAGGCCUAACACAUGCAAGUCGAGCGAGCGGCGGACGGGUGAGCAAUGUAUGGGCAUCGCCUGAUAGAUGGGGACAACUACCGGAAACGGUGGCUAAUACCGUAUAGUAUCGGAUGAACCCACGUGGGAUUAGCUAGUGGGUGGGGUAAAGGCUCACCAAGGCGACGAUCUCUAGUUGGUCUGAGAGGAUGAUCAGCCACACUGGGACUGAGACACGGCCCAGACUCCUACGUGAGGCAGCAGUGGGGAAUAUUGCACAAUGGGCGAAAGCCGGAUGCAGCCAUGCCGCGUGUAUGAAGAAGGCCGUAGGAUUGUAAAGUACUUUAAGUCGGGAGGCGUUACCGACAGAAGAAGCACCGGCUAACUCCGUGCCAGCAGCCGCGGUAAUUC
rnacentral:rRNA from 1 species